rnacentral:tRNA from 1 species
UUCGGGGUCGUCUAACGGUAGGACGGCGGAUUCUGACUCCGCCAAUCGAGGUUCAAGUCCUCGCCCCGAAGCCA